GGGCUUCGGCCUGGUGGCGAGUGGCGAACGGGUGAGUAAUGCGUCGGAACGCGCCGAGUAGUGGGGGAUAACGCAGCGAAAGCUGUGCUAAUACCGCAUACGUACUGAGGUAGAAAGUGGGGGACCUUCGGGCCUCACGCUAUUCGAGCGGCCGACGUCUGAUUAGCUAGUUGGUGGGGUAAAGGCUCACCUAGGCGACGAUCAGUAGCGGGUCUGAGAGGAUGAUCCGCCACACUGGGACUGAGACACGGCCCAGACUCCUACGGGAGGCAGCAGUGGGGAAUUUUGGACAAUGGGCGCAAGCCU
rnacentral:rRNA from 1 species